rnacentral:rRNA from 1 species
UACGGAGGGUGCAAGCGUUGUCCGGAUUUAUUGGGUUUAAAGGGUGCGUAGGCGGCUAUUUAAGUCAGUGGUGAAAUCCUGCAGCUUAACUGUAGAACAGCCAUUGAUACUGGAUAGCUUGAGUACAGACGAGGUAGGCGGAAUUUAUGGUGUAGCGGUGAAAUGCAUAGAUACCAUAAAGAACCCCUAUUGCGAAGGCAGCUUACUAAGCUGUAACUGACGCUGAGGCACGAAAGCGUGGGGAGCGAACAGG